AGCGAACGCUAGCGGCGGGCCUAACACAUGCAAGUCGAGCGGAGGGGCAACCCUCAGCGGCGAACGGGUGAGUAACACGUAGGUAAUGUACCCUCUGGUGGGGAAUAACCGUGGGAAACCAUGGCUAAUACCGCAUAUGUCUUUCGAGAUGAAAGCAGCAAUGCGCCAGAGGAGCAGCCUGCGGCCGAUUAUUUAGUCCUAGUUGGUGAGGUAAUGGCUCACCAAGGGUACGAUCGGUAGCUGGUCUGAGAGGAUGAUCAGCCACACUGGAACUGAGACACGGUCCAGACUCCUACGGGAGGCAGCAGUGGGGAAUAUUGCGCAAUGGGCGAAAGCCUGACGCAGCCACGCCGCGUGAGUGAUGAAGGCCUCGG
rnacentral:rRNA from 1 species